rnacentral:lncRNA from 1 species
AAAGAUCCUAUUUUGGCGGAGAAAUUUGAUCGGUUUCUGUUGGAGUCAUAUAUUGAUGAUAACAAAAGGGUUAAAUGGUGUCCUAGUGUUCCUCAUUGUGGAAAUGCAAUUCGUAUAGAGGAUGAUGAAUACUGCUGUGAGGUUGAAUGUGCAUGUGGUGUACAGUUCUGUUUUAAUUGUUUAUCAGAGGCACACUCACCUUGUUCAUGUAUGAUGUGGAGACUAUGGAUGACAAAGUGCAAGAACGAUGGGAAGACUGUAAUGUGGAUAAAUGAAAAUGCCAAACACUGCCCAAGAUGUCAUCAUGCUGUGGAGAAGAAUGGGUGAUGCAACCUUGUAAGAUGUAGCCCCUCUUUGCGGGAUUAUAAUGAGUAUGUUAUUGUUGUUGCUUGUUCUGGUUGGAAUCAGAAAUCCUUCAAAUGGUGGUUGGUGUACUAUGUAAAUUAUGGGUUCAUAUCUACUAUUUGUUGCAAUUUCCUCAAUUUAUGCUCUAUGCUAAAAGUACUUAGUUUAGAUGAGCCCGAUGUCACUAUACUGCAUCCGCCUCUAGUAAAUGGUGGUCAGUUGAACAUUGUGUAAAUAGGUGGGAGAAGUUCUCUUUUAUACAUAUGUAUAGAAUCUUGACAGCCUUACUGAAUUUUUUUCUGGCUUUGCUGCACAACAGGAUCAAGGACGCAAGUCCUGCAGCUCUGUGCGUGUGUGUGUUUGUGUUGAAAGGAUUUAACAAAAAAAUGUACUAGUCUUACACAUUUCCUAUGAUUAAAGAUGGGAAAAGCUUCCAAGUGGUGUUUUAUUUGACAAAAAAGAAAGAUCGUUAAUGAUCCUAAAUUCUAUGAUAUUAUGUUGGAAAUUUUGUAAUGAAAUUAGCUUCUGGCCGGCAUGCAGGGCUAGCUUUUUAAAUUUUCAGCCACAUCCAAACAUUUUCUACUCUCAAAAGCUAAAGAAGUUAGUCUUUUGAAGCAAUGAAUACUGUGUGCAAAAUGUGAAUGCAUGAAGCACCGGACAGGAUAUAUAGGAAGCAAAAUCAACCUAAAUUGUGAAGUUGUCUGUAGUUUUCUUUUUUAUGAUUUAUAUGAAUUUCUUCAAUUCUUCAUGCAUACUUUUGACUUUUACAGGUAAUCAGGAAAGAGUCCCUUUUAGCUGCACAAGUGAGCAAUUUUUUCCCAAAGUUUCGACUUAUCCAUGUGGAUAAAUGUUAAUUAAUGACUGACAUGUGAAGCAUUGUUAUUAAAAUUGCAGAAAGAAGACUUGCAAAGAGUGAUGGACUUGCUAUCUCUAAAGGAACAUCAUGCACGGAGCUUGCUUAUUCAUUACCGAUGGGAAGCUGACAAGGUCUUUGCUGUUUUUGUUGAGAGAGGGAGUGAAAAGUUAUAUGCUGAAGCAGGUGUGACACUGGAAGGAAAAGAUGAACUUACUCCCACUCUGUCGACAGCUGAAUUGACAUGUCAAAUUUGCUUCGAAGAUGUUCCUGUUGAGCAGACUACUGUAAUGGACUGCAACCAUAGAUUUUGCAAUGAUUGUGAGCAUCUUCCAUCCCUUCCCCGAGCCUCUAUCUCUGUAUGAGUAUACCAGUGUUUCUCUUAUCUCUUAUCGCCAUUAGUCAUUAUAAUAGCGAACAUCACUUUUGAAACAUGGUCUGGAAUAUGCUGUCCCAACAUUUGAUGUUUCUGUUUGUGUGCCUCACAUAAUUGGGUAAGCUGUUGGUGGUCCUUUUCAUAACUACCUAACUUCAAAAGAGCUGAUGAUUUAACUGCAUCUUAAUGGCAUCAAUAACAUUAGAAUCUGUUUCUGUUGCAGGCCUAUGGCUUCGUUGAUUUUCUUUAAUGUGAAAGUGAUUAGCGCAUCUUGAAAAGUUUAAGAGCUAGAUUCACUUAUUGCAUUUUUUUAUUUGCUUUCACUUUGCUCGUCACUCGAACAAAUAAUGGGGCAUCUUAAAAGUUGCCUAUAAUUGUUUUAUGUAGGUUGGACAACUCAUUUCAGUAUAAAUAUAAAGAGUAAACGAGUAACAUGCAUGGCCCAAAAGUGCAAUGUAAUCUGCGAUGAAGGGAAGAUUAGGGAUCUCGUCACUGCAAAAGAUCCUAUUUUGGCGGAGAAAUUUGAUCGGUUUCUGUUGGAGUCAUAUAUUGAUGAUAACAAAAGGGUUAAAUGGUGUCCUAGUGUUCCUCAUUGUGGAAAUGCAAUUCGUAUAGAGGAUGAUGAAUACUGCUGUGAGGUUGAAUGUGCAUGUGGUGUACAGUUCUGUUUUAAUUGUUUAUCAGAGGCACACUCACCUUGUUCAUGUAUGAUGUGGAGACUAUGGAUGACAAAGUGCAAGAACGAUGGGAAGACUGUAAUGUGGAUAAAUGAAAAUGCCAAACACUGCCCAAGAUGUCAUCAUGCUGUGGAGAAGAAUGGGGGAUGCAACCUUGUAAGAUGUAGAUG